AAAAAAACAAAAACAAAAAAACACUUCAUUCUGACUCUCAAGUGCAGGUUUCGGGAUACCACCCGAUCCCAGUCUCCCACAGCCAGCCGACGACCUUCAAUACCAGUGCUUUUAGGAAGGAAAUCAAUGCUGCUUAACCCAGGAGUUGUGUGCAUAGUCUUUAGGGGUCACUCUCACAUUCCAGAGGCCAUGGUGACAUAAGAUCAUAGUUCUCUUUUGGCCUGAACUAGCAAGGUAGCAAGGCCAUAGGUACUCAAGAAAGAAAAAAAAAAUAAGUUUUAAGAAGGGAAUUCUUCAUCCUUGGUCUUUUGCUGCAUAAUAUGUGGGCCUUAGGGUAUAUCUUCUCCCUAUUGGGUUUAAAGCUCUGUUUUGGACAGUGUUUGAGGCUGGGCAGUGCAGGCAUGCUGGGAGGGGUGGGCUACAUGCGAGGGAAGAAAAAUUGCAGAAACUCUGUUUCCUUUUUCCUCCAAUAUAAGAUAGGGGAUCUGGAUUCCUUGAUAAUUUCUACUAUCCAAACACUACUCAUAUGGGAACAAGAUUCUUUAGAUAGAAGUUUUAAGGAAUAUAUAGCUAGCCAUGAAAACAGGGGUCUGGAAGCAUAUUCUCACAAAAGGGGACAGCAGUUGCCCUCUUUAAAAAAAAAAAACACAAAUUAUUUGGAUAUUAACUAUGGUCCCUGCUCAGCAUUCAGGAGUGUGAGCUGGGGCUGGCAUCUCGAACUCUGGAGAAAUGAAAAUGUAAGCUCAGCCUAGCUACAUUUCCAACAGAGCUCCAACAGGACAAAUAGAAAUGCCUCCUCUGCCUCUCGGAUUCUGCUUCUCCAGUGUAUUUUGGGACUUCCCAUGGGGACCUACACCUCUACUAAGCUUUUGCCUUCCUUACUCGUCACUGGUGUAAAGCCACUAGUUCCUGUCCUUCCCUACAAUGUAUUGCUUGGAGGGGGGGGGGUGGAUUAUUAGCAGUCUUUCCCAGGGAAGUGAAACACUGCCCACAAACCACAGGCAAUCCUUUCUCCAUAUUCCUUCUCAAUCUAAUUGCAUAACCAGAGACCUAGGACAUGGAAGCCUCUGGUACCAGCUUGACAUCUCACUUCUGUCCAUCCCACAGCCUCUCUCUUCCUCUGCAAGCCAGCAUCUCUUUGCAACAAAGUUGCCACAGCCACCUUGGAGCUUCCCCUGAGAAUCAUGGCAGGGUAUAGAAAGCUGGUAUUAAGAGGAUAUACUGUACCAGUUUCUAGAAACCAUCCAACCUCACAUGCUAAUGAAUCUUUUCCAAAUGACCCAGAAGAGCCCUCCAAAAAGAACCCUCUGGGUCCAAGCCACUUGAUCUACAACAAAUUUUGAUCCUCACAUUCCCUGGUUCCUAAAAGAAGCAGGUCCCUCUCUCAGGUAAACAGCAUAAACUUAGGGACAAUGAGUGGCCAGGCAAAGGGAAAGCCCCUGAUAAUCCCACUCACUGGACUCUCUAAUGAGUGCAUCCAUCUUUCUAAAAUGAAAGCAAAAUAGAACAACUACUUUGUCUUCACAGCUUAUAGUGGCCAGGUUGUGCCUUGGCUGAUUUUUUUCUUGGAUAAAAGUGGGUCUCAUUUCAGCAGUCCUAUGAGAGCUACUGGAAGCUAAGGUUUGAGCAGCCACCAGGAAGAAGUUCUUGUCAAUGGUCUACAAAUGCCAUGGACCCCAAGAUGGAAUGGUUAACCUCCAUUACAGCAUGCAUUCAGAGGAUUCUGGUUUCUGGGAUGCACUGCCAUGGAAGGGUACCCUGGUGCUCUGAAGAGGACUAACAUAAUUGUAUAACAGGAAACAAAGUUUUAUGAGUCGAGGAGACCAGACGCUAGGGAAACCAGACACCAAGGAGCCCUAAAUAGUCCACCUUGCCACCUGCUAUCCUAACCAAAACUCCCAGGAAAGAGUCAGGCAGCAGAUGGUACCAGGCUCUGAUGGCAUUCCUUAAGGUUAUAAACAGACAGCAGAUGGUAAUCAUUAUAAAAGACCCUACCCAUGUACUGGGCCUCCCACGCCUCUCCCCAUACAAUUACCAGAAUAAAGGCAAGAAGAUGGGAAAGGCCUGUCAAAGGCCAGGCCUAAGAAUGCCAGCAACUUUUCACAUGCAGUGGUUCUUACCUUACUGCUGUGAGGCCUGGGUAGAUGUCAACCACCAGAUUCCGGGCCUCCUUGCAGUGGACAUACAGAGAAGGAGACAGAACAUGCAGUGAGACAAAACAUAGACCGGGAUUAAAAUACAGCAAUGUUCUGCAGGGGGUCCUCCUUGCCAGAGGCAGCAUAAAGAGGAUGCCAAUGAAGAAGAUAGCAGAAAAGACAGGACCCAAACUCAGCUGCCACUUUAAUGUUGGUACUGCCACAGGCACAGACACCAAUGCCCAGCGCACCCUAACCCCAGAGACAAAAGUAGAUGAUCCCAGCUGAGAAUCCCACCUGUUCUAAAAACUGAGCAUGACCAGGUGGUCGCAUGUAGGGCAGCUUAGCAUCUCUGCUAGCAAUGGUUCAGCUUCGUCUUGUUUACCAAAAGAAACGAGUACGAGCCUCCCAUUAACUAGAUAAACUAUCGAUUGUUGAUUCUGUCUGCUGCACAAGGUUUGGGUUUUUUCUUACCUGAAGACAUCUCCGGUUUUGACAUGGAAAAUGUGUUUCUCUAUUGGGUAAGCCAAUGAAUUUAAUUAGGCUUGCUCACAGGAGCAUAUUACUGGAACAGAGGAAGCUUACCAGGGGCUAUAUCACUGAAGAAAAUGUCUCUUCCUCCUCUCGCGACCACUAAGGGCUGAGAAAUUCCCUGAGAACAAACUUACCCUCUUUUAGGAAGCAUUAUUAUCAAUAUUAUCACUAUGCCUUUAAAGUUCUUGAAACUCUCCUGUUUGGUCAAGUUGAGAUGUUUAAGAACAUUUUGCUGAUUUGUAAUAGAAGUUUAUUAUGUCAUUUAAAGAAAGAAGCAGCAGCUUAGAAGCUCCUAGCACUUGUUAGCAUAGGUCUUAAAUAAUUAUUAAACAAAACAAAAAAAGAAACAGAAAAUCAGCCAGAUCUGCCCUUGCCCAAGAGAGUUUUGUCCCCCGCCCCCACCCCCGCAAAGACUGGACAACCACGGAACAGGGAACAGAAGAUGGAAAAACAGUCGAAGCUCCCCUACCCUGGACUUUCCAGCUGGCAGGUCUUUUCCUGAGCCUCCUGUUCCCUGCACACCAGCUACUGCUUCUCCAAGGCUCUGCAACUUUUCCCGGCUCCUUACUUCCACGUCUAUUCUCGGGAGGUCCUACAGGGACUGCUGGCCCCACCCAGCAGAGCAGUUCAGCCGGAACACUCUGCAUUUCUCAAAUGAGGGUUCUUCAAUGGGUGAUUCCGAGCCACCUGAGGUAUAUUACUUCUACCCCUCAGUCAAUCAAAUGUCUGCCCAGGGCUUUCAUCAGUCUUGAAGAAGAUGGAAAUACAUGAUGAAACAUGAACUAUGUGGGAGAAACCAAGAAAGGUGCUUGGAGGCAAGGACUUCACCCAUGACUGGAUGACAUGACGGCGCUACAAGUGCUACACUUAUUGCUCCCUGAGUACCCUGCCCAUUGACGCCCGGCUCUCGGGAGCAAGGGACAGCACAAGCUAGUGGCAAAUGUCACAGGCAGAGUUGCGAGUGGAGAAGUCCCCAUCCAACUGGCAUGACAGUGGGAAAAGAAGAGGUCUCACUCCGUGGAAAGAGUGACAAGACUUUUGCUUAAGGAGAGCAUAUAAUUGUAUAUGGAGUAAGGGAUGUCUCUGGGCUUCACGGGCUGGGUGGGAUGGGGUGGGGUGAAGGAAGUGGCACAAGAAAGGGAGUCACCAGAAACCAAGAACUGUCUCAAAAAGGAAGAGAAUUACAGGGAGGAGGUGUUGAAGGCCAGGGCCAUCUUGGCAUUCCUCUGUCCAACAAACUGCAAAGCCAUGUGUUCUGAGCAGAAGUGAGGGUGGCUAUGGUGGUGCACACCUGUAAUCCCAGCACUCUGGAGGUUGGGGGCAGGAGGAUCAGAAGUUCAAGGUCAUUCUCGGCCACAUAGUGAGUUCAAAGCCAGCUUGGGCUACAUGAGACUAUCUCAAAACAAAAUAAGAAGGCAAGAUAAAUUUUAUCUCGGUUUGAGCCUCUGUUCUACAACUCAACAAAUGCAUGGCUCCACUCUGUGCCUCAGUUUCCUUUUUGUCAAGCAAAAGUGGCUCCUAUUUCUUAUGGGGGGGGUCAUCUAUCCCUUGGUUGGGCCUACAUUGAGAACAUGAAGGGACUCGAGAAGUGGAACUAUUCAUAGUCCAAAGUUGCCCUCAGACAGGCAGCCUUUGCUAUCAGCACCUAACAUGCACCCCACUACUCUGAUUUGAUCAUGACUGCCUCAGGUUUCAAGUUCAUUUGCAGCUUUUCCAGCUUCUCAAAACAGCUGGACUGAACAUUAAUCCACCCUUGGCCAGUGGGAUGGGGCCAAACACACCAGACAUGCAGAGUAAGUUCACAUACACUCACAUAUACACACACCCCUAGGUAAAGUAUUUCAAAGACUAGCCAGAGUUUCAUUUCCAUAUGAUCAUGUCUGCGUCAAGUGAAAGGUUCCUUUUCAAUAGGCUUUGAUGUCCUUGCCUAUAAAAUGGGAGACAACGUCCUCACAUUCUCUAAGAGGCCCUUUUGAAAAGAAACUCUGAUGGAUCUACCAAAACGCCUGCUUUAGGGUUGCUUCUGGAUGGCCAGAAGUUGCCUAAAACUUGGUACUAAGGCAGUUGCCACAAGCGACUAAGUGGCAUCCCCUUUGCAAGGCAGGAUGUAGAGCUGAGGAACAAGAGGAGUGGACUGAGAAGAGGAAUGGGCUCUCUUUGUUUUCUUGGUGAGCCGAAUCCCAUAGCAUCUUGGUUUCUUCUUCAGCCACAGAUCUUGGGGAAGUGGCUGAGGAGGCAGCACUUGCUUCUCACCCACCACUCCAACAGCUGGCCCACAGACUGUUGGAGCAUGCUUCUCAAACCCUGAGAGCCAAGUACCAGUACUGAAAAUCAGUGAAUCUCAAAAAACCAGCCUGCAAAACCUUCCUCCAUUGAAGGCCCCCACAUCCCCCUUCUCCAAGAGAACUUAGGUGGACAAGGUUAAAUGACUUUGCCUGCCUCCUCCUGUCCUACACCUUAGGCAGGUAACAAACCAAGUCUGUGCAAGCUGGCAUGUCUGCCAUCUCUGCUAGACUAUGAGCUCCUUGAGGACAGGGACAGUGUCUUCCUCUUUCCCUGUGAGGAGCACGUACAUUUUCAAGCAGCUGAUUCACAGAUGGCCAGUAAAGAUAGGUGUUUUAAUUGGGUAACUCUUUGGAAAAAAAAAACAAAAACAAAACAGUAGAUGCUAUGUCAGGCUCACAGAACUGAAAAUCAAGUUCAGAAAGAUUGGAGAGGUAGCAGCGAAGAGUCUAUCUGGUGUUGCUGAGUUUGACACAUGAAUGGAAGUGGUUGGAGCCGGCCAAGUGGAGGCACCUGAAGAUAUAGGGCUAGUACUUAUGAAGGCGAAAUAUGUGUGGGUAGGUGGAUCUUUAGGGUCAGCGUGCCAGGCAUAUGUCAGAUGAACGUAAAGGAAGAAAGACUGCCCCUGUUAGUGUGGGUAUCUCUGAGAGGUCCAGGGAAGAACCAAAAGCAUCAGGGAGGACGAGGGAGAAGGGAGAGUCGAGAUGAGGCUGGAAACUGUGCAGGUCUCUUUAACAGAGUAGUUUUGAUAGAGAUGCACCAAGCUAACUAAGGCCAGAGCGAGGGCACAUGAAAGUGACCGAACUAAGGGUCACUGUUGACCAGAGGGGACUGAAGGGAAAUAAUGGAUCAGCUACUUCUCAGAAAACACAAAAAGGAAGGGCGCAACCUGUGACAAUCCCUCUUCCUAGUCAUUUUUCUUUCUUUGGUAAUCAAAUGGUAACCAGGGGACCAAGAGCUAUUUUCGAAGGCUUCUUUAAAUUCCUCAUUGCUUGUCACCUAUCACACUCCUUCAAAGACACUGCUUAUCUAAUAGGGGACAAAAGUGACAGAUUCUGUCACCCCAAAAGGGCAAAUUGGAAUCCUCAUGCCCUCCGUGACCCCUAUGUGCCAGGUUGCAGUAGGGCACCUGUGGCUGAAGUGGCAGAGUCACCAUCCACAGACUGUCCCCAUCAAACUUUCAUAAACUAAAAGAAAUAAUUUCUCAGCUACUCAAGGCCCCUGUUCCUCUCCAUCCAUUCUGCCCAGAAGCAGCAGAGAAAGCAGAUGCUGAGCGAAGUACCUGUCUUAUGUGAGCCGGGGUCUGCAUUCAGCAAAUAGUGUACAUGCGACUUCCAAGGAAAGGGAGACCCACACAGGUACUCUGCAUUCCCUUGAGCUUCAGAGAAAUAGCUAGAGCUGAGUUUUGAUACAUUGGACUUGCCAAUUGCUAGUCUUGAGUAAGGACCAGUUUCUCUGCCUACUAGACAGAAUAUGUUUCUUAGGUUUUUGUGACCCUUGGAGUCAUGUUUGGCACAAUGGUAGAGCACACAAGAGUGUGCAGAGCUGGCUCUUAUUGGUGUGACAGCAGCAUGAGGGUGGGGACCACACAGAAAAUGACAGCAAAACAAGGGAAAAGUAGACAUCAAGUAGCCAUCAACAGCACAGAGUUCUACCCAAACAAAACACAGCUUGUAGAGCUUCAUCUGUCUGUCCAUCUAUCUGUUCAUUCAACAAACUUUUUAGGUGGUCUAAAAUUUGCUAAGUGUAUCCAGAGCAUGAGGGGCAUUUGUGAUGAGACUUUCACAUCAUUUCCUGUGUGAAGUAUUUGAUCCAAGCAGCAUUAUUCAGCAGCAACAGUUUCCCACAGGACAUCAGACCUCAAGCUAAGCAUAAACUUGUGUCUAUCCCUUCUCCAGGUCAGAAAUUCCAUAGAGAAUAUCUGCAGACUGAAUCUGUAGCUUUGUUCAGAGAGAUCAUCUCAUUUCUGCUUAGCUAUUCUGGCUUUUCCCAAAAGAAUCAGAUAUGUACACGUUGCAGGGCAUUUGCUUAAAAUGUCUUUCCUUCUAGCAGCUGGCAGCUGGAGAAGCUCUGUUGCUGAGACUCUUCAUGAAGGCAUGAGCCUGCCCUUCCUGCGGGACAGACAUACAGCAUACUGAGAUGGGGGAGGAGGGCAUGAUUUGGGGAGGAAGGGAGGGAAAUUUGAAGCUUUUUCCUACUGGCAAGAACUUCCUUUUUGAAAAUAAGAUACUAAGGUGCUUAAGAAGUUUGAUGUGUUGGUCAUUUGUUAUCCGGUCUCAUGUACUUCGUUUCCCUAAUUUCUUGGCAAACUCCAAGUGUGUGUUUUUCACUCAAGGUCCCCCCUGCUCUACAAAAAAAUAAAAAAUAAUAAUAAAAAAGGGUAGCCUAUCGAAACCCUAGUCAACCCUGCAGCUAAAACUUUAAAGAGCCCUCGCGUGUCUUUCUGGUACCUUUGACAUAUGGGAACCUCGUGUUCUACUCAGCAGUGCUGUCUCCUCUCAUAAGCUGUGCUUCUUCUUCCUUUCCAUUAGCUAAUGGACUAACCCUCUGUAGGUGUCUGGCCAGAAGGCUGGCAGGGGUACCAAGUAAUUGUCACUAAGGAAGUUUCUGGUGUGUGGCACUUAGCAAGCACCAACAGAGACAUGUUUUUAGCAUCCUGGAGGAAAACUUAUUUGGGGGCUAUUUCUUUCAAAUCUUAGUUGUUGACCUUGGCCCUUCCUACAUGAAUCUGCUCAUACAAUCUCAGAAACAAUCUUUAAAUGUCUUUUCUACUUAAAGCAGGGACCUUGGACGAGUGGUGGCAUUACCACCCAAGGAACGUGUUAGAAAGGGAACAUCCAAGGUUCCUGCCAAGGACAACUCCAUCAGAAUGUGCAUUAUAACAGACAUGUUGUGUGUGUUCCAAAUUGGGAAAUCCUGAUGUGGGGGCAGCGUUUAAAAGCUAAGGACACCAAGCCACAGAGGGGUAACUUACCUGAGAAUAUGCACUCAGUUAAGUGUGGUGUGACUUCUCCUGUAGAGGCAUAGACAGAUGUCUCUUCACUCAAGAUAGAGCACCCAAAGGCAGACCAAAGAAACUGCCCCAGUUGAGGCUGGCUUAGCAGCCAGUGAUUUAAUGGGAUAACUCGUGAGACUGUGGUUAAGGGGUUACAGGAGUCUGCUUGGUUAAAGGGCAAACGGAUGCAUAGUGUAAAGGCCCCCACCCAGUGUGGGUGACAGCUCAUGAAUACUGAAUCUCUGGAGCAUCUUGUAUGAGCCUCUUCCUAGCAAUUGUCACUGCUGCUUAGGUCUACUGACAAACAGGGAAGGCAGGAGAUUUGACACAGGGCCUUUAUGCUAUGCAUCCAUUUGAUAUUUGAUGAAGUAGAGUGUUAUCUCCCAGAGUGUGUUUUCAACUGGGUUCUCGAGAGAAGCAGAGCAGACCGUUUAAUGACAUGUUAUUUUCAAAGCCACAAGCUUUCCCCACCAAAUGUUAGCAUGCACAUAGAAGCUUGUGUGUCCUGCUCUUUUCAGAAAACAGUGUUCUGUGAAAUAAAUAAAAACCAUGUCAAAGGAGAGGCUAUGGGACUCGGGCAUUUGGCAUGAGACAUCCUAGCCCUUCGGGAUUGAUGGGCAAGUAUUACAUUAUUCAUAACUUUGGGCCCCCCAAUGGCUCCAAGAUACAUUUACCUGUAUAAAAGUUCUACAUCUUGUAAAUUAUAAACCUGCCCUGAAAAUGGGCUUGAGAAGUCUAGGUAUAUUUGGAGGUCCUCCUGGAUGAACAUACAACCAACUCAUUGACUGUGUGUAGCUGCAUGAAGUUCUUUUAAUUCCUCUGCAAGUUGGUACAUGUUCUUUGAAAUAUUUCUCAGAUGUCACCACUUCCUCCAAAGUAUUCAAAGAAACGUUCCAUCUCCUUACCUCUAUCCAAAGUCUUUAUGAGAAGCAGCAGCUUGAGAGGGGCAUCUCUAUCAUUUAUCACCAGAAGCUGUACUUGCCAGGGAGAAGACGCUAUCCUAAGUAGUCUAAGAGGCAUUUUAACCUUGAUCACUCUUAAAAGAGGUCCAGCAUGCAUUUUGUUUCUAUGUGGCCUUGAAAGAGGAAAAGCGAUCUGGGCAAAUGUUCAAGUCCUAUCCCCUACUUCUCGAUCCCUACUGCGGGGAGGCAAUAGAAAUGGCCUGUACACAAGGGCUGGGGACAUUUUUUUUAUUUUUUUACUGGAAAACUCACUUCAUGACUUUCUCUGAGUAGCUCCUCUGGAGUACUCAGACUGCUGUCUCACAUCUGUCCAUUUAUCACUGGGAUCCAAGCAGGUCACUCAGGGUUGAGGAGAGAUGCUGAUGAAGAGUAGGCCAGCUCCAGAUUGGUGUCCUGAAGGGCUAGUGCCACCACAGGGAUACUGGGGACUCUCAAUGAUACCUUCUUCACUAGGGAAGAAGGUUUUUUUAUCUCUGUGGGAAUUAAGUCAGAGCAUAUCACCCAAUAUCUACCCUUAAUGACAAGCUCUAAACUACUCCACUGGGGUGACUGGCAGCUAGCCAAUGACUCAAUAAAUGUCGUUAAAUUAACUGGGUAGAUAGUUCUCUGGACUUUGAUGAAUACUGGUUUGUAAUUCUACAUAAUGUGAAAGGGAUAUUAAUGCGGCUAUACUAGCCACUUCUUUUAAGUUUUUAAGUCUUGCUUUACUGAGGCAAAAUAUGGUCCUACUGAAUUGUUAGGAAAGUAACAUGGUGGCACUUAUAUGACCCAUCCCAUGAGGGUGGUACAGAAAUAAAGGACACCUAGAAGAACCAGAACAUUGCUAUUCCUGGGUAACUUAACCCCAACCACUAUCAGUGGAAACAAUGGAAAACUGGAGAGAUAAGAGAACACAAGGACUUUGGGAAAAACCACAAAGCAAAACAUUUUUUUCUCCUUUUCUUUUCUCCCCUCCCCCCACCAUAAUAAAACCCCUCUCAAAACCACAAGAAGAUCCAAAGUCACAGGCAAGUUGGAAAAUGUUGCCUUUCUUACACCACCAUGGAGAAGAACAGCAUGAGAGCAACCAGCCAUAGGAACAGGGAGGAGAGCAAUAGUGAGUUUGUAUGUAACCAAGGUGUCUGAAAGCCAGCAAGUCUAUAGCUGCAGACUUGGAGGUACUAUAUCAGUAGGGCUGAGAUUCCACUCUGGCACUUGUCUUGUAAUAAGUGCACAUUAUGGCUAAACUCUUAGAGUCAGUUUGCCUGUGUUGCAAUCUUAGUUCCUCUUCCUCCGUGGACUACAAUGCUGAAUAAGUCAUUAAGCUUCCUCAUGUCAGCUUCCUCUUCUGUAAAAUGGGAAGAAAGUGUAUUUAACAGAUUGUACCAAGAAACUAAAUGAGUUAACAUUGAAGGAUAAGUGAGUUAACAUUGUCAAAUGCUUAGAAAGAUGCUAGAUCAAUAGUAUGCUGUUAAAGAAAGAGAAGCAUCUGCUGUAGAGAUAGCCAAUGCGGGUCAGGAAAAGAUACAAAAAGGUGUGACAUUUGUAUUCUCUGUUGUUUCUACUCAAGCCUUCUUUUCACUUUUAUUACACUCUCAUUUGUUUCAAGGAGCUCUUUACAUAUUGUAGAGUAAGCACCCUAUAUAUGUAGGCAUAUAAAAUCAAAAUAUACGUAUUAAAGGCUGGUCAAAAUCAUAGUCAUUAGGGACAGGCAAAUUAAUACCAUAAUGAGGUAAUCCUUUAGACCUCGACUGAAAAUGGCUAUGAUAAGGGACUGAUGACACCAAAUGUCGUGGAGGGUAUGGAGCCACUACCUCUUUCUGUGGCGAUGGUGAGACUGCAUGAUGCCAUAACUAUUUUGGCAAAGUGUUUGGCAGAUCUUACAGAGUUGAACACUUGCUCACCAUAUGUUUUGGGUGUUAGCCCAAGAAAAAUGAAAUCAUAUGUUUGUACAAAGGCUUUUACAGGAAGGUUCUCAACAGCCAAAUGUUGGAAACAAAGUGAAUGGGUAACAGACCUUACUAUGCUGGCUGGAAGGACAGAGUCAGCUUGGGACUACAAUUCUCAAUACACUGUGCCAAACACAGGAAUGUGCAUGCCGUGUGUGUUCGUUUAUUUAAAACACAGGACCAGGAGUUAACUGAUAGGGAUACAAAUUAAAAGAGCAGUUACUGGGGCUGGAGAAAAGGUUAUGUGGUUAACUGUGCUUGCUGUUCUUCCAGUGGACCUGAGUUCAGUUCCCAGCACCUACCUCAAGUGGCUCAUAACCACCUGUAACUCUGGUUCCAGGGGCUCCAUUGUCCUAUUCCAGCCUCCAUGGGCACACACUCAUAUGUGACAUACACUGUCAUGACACACACAUUAAUAAGUUUUUUUAAAGAGAGAGAGAGAGAGAGAGAAGGAAAGGCAGUUACUUCUGCAAGAGUCAGAAAAGAUCAUUCCAUUGCAGUGGUUUUCAACUGCGGAUAAGUGUUUGGUCCCUCAUAGAGAAAUGUUGUAGCAAUGUCUCAAGACCUGACAGUCAUGUUCCUGGCAUCUAACGGCAAAAGGUCAAGAAAGGUUACUGUUAAUCAUCCUAUAAUGCACACUGAAGAUCCCCCACUGUAAACAACAGGCAUGUUCCUUGUAUCGAUGAUCAGAAGUUGAGCUGUCCUAGCUUAGGAUAAUGGAAAUGUUCUCUAUCUUGUUUGGCUACAUAGGUAUCAAAUACAUUCGAUAGAAUUCAGCAUCACUGUGUGAAUUUUGCUGUGUGAAGUUGCACCCUCAUUUUAAAAGACACUAAACAAAGUUGACAGAAAGAGAAGGGCCAAACAAGGGGUUCAGAGGCACCCUCCUUCCUCCCUUAAGUACGUCUUUGUUUCUAACGGCCAGUUUUUGCUUCCUCCAUUUUGUCUGAUCUUCACAGAGUAACACUAGCUCUCUUUUGGUUGGUUCUUACAUGAAAUGCCUCUUUCAUGGUUUGAGCAUCAGGGUGUCUUCUUCAGAUCUCAAAUGAGCCUCCUUUAAAAAACCAGGACUCAUCAUCUAGCCCAGACUGAGCUGGAACAUGCAGUAGUUUCCUUGUCUCUGCUGUCUGAGUUCUGGGAUCUCAAACUACAGUAGGACAAUUGGAUCAGAUCUCAAUCCCAGAUAGUUCACAGCCAGGGAUGUGAAGGCGCAGAAUCUGUGAGAAUGUGCCCAUCCUCACUGAAGAUCACACCUGAUCUUGUAUGUCUUUCUACCUCUUUGUUGGCUGCUUGCAUGAUGACCCUAUCUUUCCUUAUUUGGAGACUAUAAAAUACUUAAUCUCUUCACAGAAAAACUGUCCUUACACUGUCUUCAGUGACUUGUGUGUGUCCAUGAGACAUACUGCUAAUAAUUUUGGUUUAGAACAGACUAUUUUCUCCUUUCUCUUAUUUACUUUCACAGUUUUCCAGACUUGAUUUUAACAAGUUGGGAUUUUGUGUGUAUCUGUUAGCAUCAUUUGCUCUUAAAGAGGUAAAUUUGGUGUUUAUAUAAAAUCAUGGUCACUGGUUCUUCAGAGGUUGUCUUGCAAGCUUUAAGGCUCACUGCCAAGUCUGGCUCUUAAGUCUCAGCUGGCUGGGAAAGUUCAGAUUUUUCAGGAAGACUUAGCAGUCCUUUGGAAUUUGAUGGUCCUCUCAAAAUUCAUAUGUUGAAACCCAAUCUCCAUAGUGACAGCAAUAGGUCAGGAACUAUGGACAUGAUCAGGGUGAAAGUGUUAAAGCCAUCGCAGAUGGGCUUAGAGCUCAAGAAAGGAGCCAAGACACCAGAGUUGCUUUUUUUUCAUGGCAUAUGGAAACAAACAUAAGUCAUCUCCCCACAGAGUCGAGAAUAGGACCCAUCAGCAAAGCAUGGCCAGCUGGCACCUCCUCUUGGACUGUGAGCUCCAAAACUAUGAGAAAUAAAUUUCUGUUGUUUAUAAGACACUUAGCCUAGGGUACUUUGAGCAUUGUGAAUGAACUAAGAGGCUACAGAAUGGGUUCUCGCUCAGUGUAUUCCUCAACCUGGUUAUCUUCUUUAGGUAUGCAAUGUUUGUACCUGCCAAACAGUGUUUUCUUUCUCUCAUGUCAUGGGGGUGGAGGUCUUAUUAGCAUUUUAUUAGCAUUGGCAUUUAAGAUGAAGCAAAUCAAAGAACAUAGGGAUCUCUGAUGUAUCAUUCUGACCCAAAUCAAGAGAAAACUUAAACACUGAAAUAAAACAUGGUAUUUCUUUGUUCUUUCAAAGCAAGUGGUUAGAAGCUACUCUAGAGCCCACAGCUCUUGAAGCAAGGAGCGUCAUCAAAAUGCUCCAGAAAUUACUGUCUAUAUUUUAGAUAGCAUACAGGAAUCAAUCAGGCUAUAGCUUCCAUUUAUUUUUUAUAGAAAAGUUGCCUUCAGCAAUAACCAACCAUGUGUGAACAGCCAGCCACUUUUAGUGCUGACAGCCAUGCUUUCUCCAAGGGAUCUUAGCUUCGUGGCUGCUGUGGUGCCUGUGGAAGCUCCCCAGGUGACAGUGCGAUACAAAAGAGCUCUUCAAAGGCUCUUCACUUCAUGUUUGUACUACGCCAUCCCCUCUAAUGGCUGAAGUAUCCAGUUGCUCUGUUCACUUUGAGGCCAGCUGUACUGCAGGAGUUAGAAUAGCUGAAGGAAGCAGGAGGUUUCAGUAACAGGAAAGUGUCUCCAAAUGCAGCUGAGAGGCAUUGGGCAAGGGAGCUGAGGCAUCCACCCAGUCCCUGGGGUGGCCAGAUGUGACAGGGUCAGAUUUGGGGUUGGUGAACUCGAGUACUCUGAGGGAAAUCCUCUGAGAAGGGCCCUCGGUUGGCUCUGGCAUGUGGAAAUCCCAUAAAGACCCAAUGGUAAGAACAAAUUCCAAGGUUCUGUCUGAGUAGCACACUAGUACUUUCCAACACAUGUUCGCAGACCACCUUGGGCAGGCUUCAGGCAGUCUCUUGAAAUAAGUGCCCGUUGCAGCAUGAGAAGAGCCCAGUCACUCACAAUGAAGAGUAGAAAUAAAAUCAGUUAAGAGUUUCUCAUACUUAAAGUAGCUCAUCACAUGCUGUUUGAUGAUGUCAUAGGAUAUAUAGGCCAUAAAACCAGGACUUUUGCUAAGGAAAUCAUUCGGCAUAGAUCUAAAGCCAUAUUGACUCAAAGUAGAGUACAUGCUUCCACUUCUGCCUGCAAAAGUAUGCUUGUUGCAGGGGUGGGAGUUGUGGGGGAAGCUGGAGGGGUUGGCAGGACCAGGUUGGUUUGAACUUGUGUUGUGGGUGUGGAGCUGUUUGGUGAAGCAAUCCAAUGCCAGGCAGCCCUGCUUCUUCGCUCUCAGCAAUGAUAAGCUCACAGACAUUUGCUGUUGGAGUGUGCAGCCGGCCAUCUCUCACCGACAGCUGAAGAGUGUGUUGUCAAAAGGCAGCAAUGAAACCAUCACUCAUUUUCUCCAUUUCAUCAGAGACCCUCCUCCUGUGGCCACACAGUGUGUCAACAGUCCGUCACAAUGUACAUCGUUCAACUUACAUUUUGUGACCAAAUCAGUCGCCCCGCCAACUACGAAAAAAAAAUUGUGGGUUUUUGUUUUGUUUUGGUUUGGUUUUUUUCCAAACCUCCUUGACUUUGGCGAUCUCAGAAUGAGAGGAGUGAGCCAGCACAGGGAGACAGAUGUCCGCUAAGAUUUCUCUCAGUCCUCAGUUCCUUGCAUGAAGUGACACAAGCAUGCUCCUCCUUGACUUAGGAGCAGCUAUCACUCCACUUCUAAAAUGCUGGUGCUACUCCUUGGAACUGAACCAGGCUCUAUCUUUCCCUCCAGGAGGGAAAAAUAAUGGCUGUCCCCAACUACACAUCUAUCCAAAAAGCCUGCAUGGACAUCUCACUCCAAAGAAAGGCACCAGAGGCUUCAGGAGUUUAAAACACUCUGAUAAAAGUAUUCAUCUUUGCUGAUUAGGAUUAGGAUCUCUUUGCAGCUAUGGGAAAGCACUGCUAAAGGAAACCACCUAAAAGGAACUCUAGAGCCUGGGUAUAAAAUUCUGGCCCCAAUCUCAGGUGAAAACUCAGAAGAGGGCACACUGUUGGCCUUGACUGCAAGUUUUGGGUCAAAAGAACCUUGGGAUCCCAAGGUUUGGAUGGGUGGGAGUGGAAGAGUGGUUCUGAAUGGAAACCCAGAAUGGCGAGGCCUCUGACACCAGGUAGCCCUUACUUCAAUUCUGGGCCUCAUUUUGGGUAUAAAUGUCAUAUGUUUUCUGCUGAUAGAAUAUGACUCCUACCAUAUAUAGCCCCUAUAAGUCUGCCAUGGAAAUUAAAGUACAUUCUCAAUACACUGAGCACUGCCCUUGACUCAGAGAAGACACACGGAAGCGUGACUGUCAAUGUCACUAGGGAAAACUUCUCAACCUAGGCCUUGCCAAAAGAUGAAGGUCUAAGAUGGCUGUUUCACCCUUCAGUCUUUGGGGUUUUCUACAUAAGCUGAUUAGAAACACAGCUUCCAGACGAGAGCGGUAACACACACUUGUAAUCCCAGCACUCAGGAGGUGUAGCAAGAAGAUCAGGGCUUGGAGGCCAGCCUGGGCUAAAUGAAAUACUAUCUGAAAUAAGAAUAAAACACUACUUCCUCCUGAAAAAAAAAAAAGCCAGCCAGCCAUCAACUGGAGUAGAUAUACAAACAAGCCUUGUGAUGGGCUUCAUCAACAGAAGUACAAAGAAAAGCCACUGGACCAGUUUGCUUGAGCCAGGCAGAGGCUAGAGCUCACUGCCCAGAGAUGCCAGGGACAGGCUCCACAUGCCUGACACAGAGCCAGGAGCUCUGGAGCCAACUCAAAGUCUCUGUCCUCAGAAGAGAUCAAAAAUGCACUAGAAUUACAUAGUCAAUGCCCACCCAAUAGCCAAAGAACAAAAACUAAGUGCCUUGGACUCAGAGUCCAGUGUUCAGGCUGAGCCUUAAUGAUGCAUUACAGGCUGGGGACAGAGAGCCACUUCCCUACCAUUGGCAGAACAAUCAGAAGGCAGAGGCUAUGAAAAGGGGCCCAGAGGAUCCUACUGGGUUCUAGGCUCGAUCAUUGCUCUGUGGAUAUGCAACGUGGGAGUACACUGUGCACAAACAAGCCUUGUGCUCUUCCCAGCUUCAACCUUGCUUCUCAUGUGUCUCUUUGCAAUAUAAAUUUAAAUACAUACUUUAAUUUGCUCAGCCUACUGAGGGCUGGUGGAGGAGGGAGUGGCUGAAGAUGGCAGGAACGCAACACUUCCCUUGAGCCAACUCCAUGCAGUCAGAUUCUAUAACUUGAAAGGAUGCCCAGGGCAAUGCACCUUAAAUCUUCUUUCCUCUGAUUCAGGCACAGCAUAUAGACCACUGCUGCCAGCAAGCAAGCACAGUACAUUCCCAAAAGUUUCUCCAGAGGAAACGUCUGUGUGGCUCAGGGAUGCUUCCAGGCUGGCUGGCUAAGCCUUCCCUGUGUGUGCCAACCAAUAUAAUUAAAAAUGCAUCCAAAGUCAACCUCAGACAACCAAGCACUCCUCGGCAACAUGGGGGGUGCUCACUGUCGGAGGGUGGUCACCCCGGUGGGCGUAAACGUUGCCCCAGGUGCUCUGCAGCUGGCUGCAAAGGCUCAUGAAAUUCUAUCCUUUCCAGUCCCCAGCAUGCUGGAGAACAACCCCGAGAGGCCGGCCAGCAGCCCUGUCCCACCUGUGGAAACUAAGGAUGCCAGCUCAGCAGACUGGCAGAGGAAGGAAACUCACACGGCAAACAGACCUACCGAAAAAUUGGAAGUAUUGGCGUAACAGAAGCACAUUGAUUAAAGUUACUUGAAGAUCAAAUUAUUCUCCCAGCCCAGGUGAUUUCAUCCCAGAAGCCAGGAGACUUACAUCGACAGAAUAUUGAUGAAAACCACUCGCUGCAUCUCGGCAGACCAUAUUAAGCAAUUGCAAAAACAAAAGAUGAGGCCAAAGCUAUUCUUGAACCACGCAGGCAAGCAGACCGCCAAACAACUAGGAUUCCCAGGAGGGCUGCAACAGAGAGAGAAAUCAGCAAUUCCAGGAAGAGGUUCCCCUGCUGCCACCUGAGGGGACGGACACCCAAGAGCUUGUGUGGGGCCAGCCAAUGGCUCAUGGAGGUUCUUGAGCUGCUUUAAAGCUGGUUGUGGUCCCUAAGAACUGAGAUACAACCUUAAAAAGUCACCCUCAUCCAGCUGCUACCGGAUCAUUUUGCACAGUCCAAGAAGUGAACUUUAAUACACAAUCGUCUGUUUCCUAAGGUCAGACAUGAAGAAGUGAGAGCAGCUCAAACUUUGGCCCACUUAGAAAGGAAGGAGCCCAAGUAUGUGCCAAAGAAUAUCCCAGUGUAUACCUGUUCACCCCUUGCACCUAAACAUGUGGCCAGUACAAGGUCCUGGGGACAGCAAGAGCAAGGGAAGGCUCUUGAGGGCCGUUGACCACAUACCUGCCAUAUUAUACCUCCAACACAGAGAAUUCUUGAGGCCACCUGUUAUUCCACAUUGAGAUCAUACCUGGAACCACCCUCCCCCCUUCAUGCCUAGUGAGAGCCUCCACACCAAAGGAACAUAACAGUUUCUACUCAGAUGUUUGUCAUCAAGCAUACACGGGAUGCCCUGAUGACAAUGACAGUACAUCCAGGGAAGUUCCCUAGUAGACAAAGGACCAGUACCCAACACUCUGCCAGAAAUCUAUAGACCCCGUUCCUCUCAGCCAUCCACCUGUCUCUGAAGACGGUAUGCUCCCUACAAACGUCACCCCCACUCUUGAACAUCCCUGGAGAUCCAAGUGUACACACUUGGACAGGUGAUCAACAUGGCCAAUUGUAUGGUGGGAUCUGGAAAGGGCGGAGUUUGUAUUAGCUCCUCAGGAACCUGGGGGAGAAGGCAGGGAAUGGAGAUGUGGGAUUUUGGGAAAGGAACAGAGGAAGCAGAGAGGAGCCCAAGGAGAAAUGAGAAGGAAAGUCUCAUGGUGAAGCUCUGGAUUCCCUGCUCCUCCUCUGGGUAUGCUGGUCUUUGUUUAUGUCAAUUACACUUGACGUCAGACCUCUGUAGGAAACUCUUUAGCCCUUAACUGGGGCUCUUCUAAAUCAGAUGUUGAGCUCCAGUCCGAGCCAACUGAGUCACAGCCUCGACUAGGAGAAUCCAAGUACCUAAGAAUCUAGCUUUGCCAGAGCAGCCAGUCUUGACAAUCACUAUCCUCCUUCAAGUCUCUGUGAGGCUAGGCACUUCCUCUCCCACUGAGGCCAGCCUAGGCAGACCAGCUAGAAGAACAUGUCCUGUGGACAGGCAACAUCUUUUGGGACAGCCCUCAUUCCAGUUGUUUGGGACACACAUGAAGACCAAGCUGCACAUCGGGAGGGGGACAGUGAGUGGGAGGUUAAAUGAAUGUUAAAAAAAAAAAUUAAAUUUUAAAAAAAUCACUAUCCCUAAAGUGCACAGGACUACCUUCCCUCUACUGUAUCAUGAAAUGCCCCAUCCCAAGACUCUAGACCUCUGGAAGUAGUCAUUUAAAAAAACCAAGGAAAGUGGGCAUUGGGUACACUUUUAAUCUCAAAAAUCAAGAGGCAGAAGCAGGUCGGUCUCCAUGAGUUGAAGACCAGCCUGUUUUCUACCUAGCAAGUUCCUGGUCAUCUUGUACUAUAUAGUGAGUCCCCACCUAAGUAAAUAGAGACUGGAUGCUUUUAGUUUGUUACAUUUUCAAGGCUUCUUUCCAUCUUGAAACUACGGAGUGAACUGGAGAGAAGGAUCAGCAGUUAAUAGGUCUUACUGCUCUUCCAGAGGACUCAGGUCCAAUUUUCAGAACCCACAAUGGUGGCUCCCAACCCUCUAACUCCAGCAGUUCCAAGGGACCUGAUCCCCUCUCCUGGCCUCUGCAGGCACCAGGCACAUUCAUGUAGGCAAAACACAAUACACCCAUACGCAUAAUCUCUAAAAGGAAACUAUAGGAACAAGUAUCCCAGAAGAUGUUCAGAUUUUUCACAUAGAAUUUCAUUCCUUCUGCACCUGGGUGCAUAUCUGCUGCCUCAAAGCUUGUUCUGGUUGGGUAAUGACUCAUAGUGAGCCAAGUACCAUCUCACAAACUGAUUUUUCUUCAGACAUAUACAUAUAUACAAUAUACAUAUUUCAGAAGGCAGCGGAUUUGGCUUGUGACAAACUGCAUGUUCCAGUUCCUGAAGAUGGAUUUGCCAGAUUACCACCGUUUAAGGAGUAAAUUGCCACUGUUACCUAGGUAUUCUGCUUCUUCUAUGAUCACUUACAUGGAAAAUUCAAUAUUUCAUAUGCUGACCAGGAAAUGGCAGCAACAAUUGGAGCUUAGACUUUGAAUCACUUCCUAUAUUUAUUUUUUAAUAUCAUCCUAAAGAGAUCUGGUUACCAAUGAAUCCAAGAAGUUAAAAAAAAUAACAAUAAUACCAUGAACCGUGUCUUGUAAAGUAGCCGUUUUAUCCUAGGGAAGAGCUCAGUCUCUGCCCAGCCAUGUAAUUAAUCCUGAUGGUGACACCACCUGAGCCAGGCUCAAGUCCAGCUCCAGGACUUCAGUUUACACUGAGGGAAAUGGAGAGCCUGGGCUUUUUUCAGUGAUGGAAGCGUAUGGAGAGCCAGAAUCCCUCAGUUCCCAAGUGACAAAAAAGAGAUAGAGACGUGCUGCCCCAACUCUAAAGCUUGCCAUCAAUGUGAAACUUUCAGGCAGAUUAUGCACACCCCUCUUGCAGGCCACGGUUCCCUCCCUGGUAAAGAGAGCUGGUUGGAUAGACAGAAUCCUGGGAGUCUUCUCCAGUAUUGAAGCCUGGAGAUCUCUGGUUGGACAAGGAGUCAAGAUGCCAGCCUCAGGGGUAGCUUGAUGCAGCCUUGAUGGCCAACCCUACCACCAGGUAGCCAAUCGGCUGGGAUCACUCAUUUCUGUCUUCCUGUCGGCCUCACCAGUGGUAGACAGUUAAAGCGGAAACCAGCUGCUCUCUCAUACAGCUCUUGCUCCCGCUAAGGCAUGGAGGCACAGGAAACAUUCAACGUGGCACCCAAAGGGGUGACCAGGGCGAGCAUCUCUUAGGCAGUUUUGUUCUUAUGAUGGGAAAUGGGACCAUCCUCUCCCCUCCCCCAGGCCUCCUAUGUGGUUCUGACUGAAUUAUUCACUAGGUUCUUGUGUUCUCAAAAGUUAACCUCUAGAUUAUCCUGAAAUAGACUGGACUGUUCUAAAAUAACCUCUGGCAGCACACGAAGCCUGUUUUAUAGGAUUAUGUCAGAACAGGGUACCACAUCCAUGUCUUUCACCUAUGGAUGUCUUUUAUCUCCUCUCAACAUCAAUGAGCUUUAGGCUUCCCUGUCUCCAUCCACUGUUAUAGGUCUCCCAGAGUUCCCAGUGUAGCAAAGAGCCCCAUGCCUGUCAGUAAAUACUGACCAAGGUUCACUUUGGCUCUCUGUGAUCUCACCCCUCUGGCUGUUAUCUGUGUUCUUCACAGUGUUGGGACUCUGCUGUGUCCUCCCUAAUUGACACCUGGGCAAGUAUGUUUUGUGGCCAAGUGUUAUUUGCCACUUUUACCCCUCCUCUUUCAUGUACCUCCUCAUGAUCUACUGUAAUAAAUCAAAUGGGGCUAUUCAUCAAACUCA